rnacentral:piRNA from 1 species
AAUCUUGGUAACUCGAGUUUGAGUCAAG